CAGCCUCAGGUUAAGAUCUUCCCUGGAAAGCCACCUUGUGGGCUACACAGAUUAUUAGAAAUGGGUUAGAUCAAUAUGCAAGAGCUAGCCAAUAAGAGGCUGGAACUAAUGAGCCAGGCAGUGUUUAAAAGAACACAGUUUCGGGGAAAGAUAGCCGUGCGGGAGCUGGUGGUGGGAGACAGCCCUGCCACUCCUAUUACAACAAGUGUCCAGACAGGACAAGCAGGAUACAGACAAAAAGACUGUCAAACCUUAUCAAGACAGGGUUCUGAGGUCUGAAUUUCAAGUGAACUUUCCAUCAUGGAAAUUUCAGGAAAAGAUGAAUCUGAAUCCACAGUUUUCGGAGCUCUCCCCUCAACAGGACACGCAGCGUGAGAACUCGGGCAGUCCUUCUUGAUAACUUCAUGUACCUCAGGCUUGACUUAAACUGUGUAGCAAGAAGAUAAGCCUGUGCUGGAAUUACAGGUUUUACACGGAUAGGCACGGCGCGGCUAUCACUGGUUCCACCUGUACCACCAGCUGGGCUUCCUCAGAUGCCCUCCUCACCUGGCAGUCUCUUUCCCACUUGGGACUGCUGUGGCACUCUGACUCCACACUGGACACGAAGGUCUGGGACUGACUGCUAGUGUCCGAGAUGCCCAGCCUUUUCCUGCACUGGAGCAGACUGGAGAACACGCCUCAUAUUCCAGCUACCCAGGGAACCAGGUGUGGCAACUUGUGACUCUUGGCCUACCUGACCGAGCUACGUGACCGGAACCACGCGGCCUGCGAGAUCCCGUACCCUGCCCCCCAUUCCUUACCAUAUAUAAACUGUAACCCGUCCCUAAUAAAGGGGAGGCUUUGACAAAUCUGCUUGGCCUCCUUCUUCUAUCUUAGCUCAUUCCCUUCCAGGUAGCGCCCCUCCGUGACCCUGGA